rnacentral:rRNA from 1 species
AACGAACGCUGGCGGCAUGCCUUACACAUGCAAGUCGAACGGCAGCACGGGAGCAAUCCUGGUGGCGAGUGGCGAACGGGUGAGUAAUAUAUCGGAACGUGCCCAGUCGUGGGGAUAACGUAGCGAAAGCUACGCUAAUACCGCAUACGAUCUACGGAUGAAAGCGGGGGAUCGCAAGACCUCGCGCGAUUGGAGCGGCCGAUAUCAGAUUAGGUAGUUGGUGAGGUAAAGGCUCACCAAGCCGACGAUCUGUAGCUGGUCUGAGAGGACGACCAGCCACACUGGGACUGAGACACGGCCCAGACUCCUACGGGAGGCAGCAGUGGGGAAUUUUGGACAAUGGACGCAAGUCUGAUCCAGCCAUUCCGCGUGCAGGAUG